AGCAGCCGCGGUAAUUCCAGCUCCAAUAGCGUAUAUUAAAGUUGUUGCAGUUAAAAAGCUCGUAGUUGAAUUUCGGGAUCAAUAUGUCGGUCGUGCCUUCGGUACGUACUGGUAUCAUUGGUCUCUCCUUUCUGACGAACCAUGAUGUCAUUAAUUUGGUGUUAUGGGGAGUUUAGGACUGUUACUUUGAAAAAAUUGAGUGUUUAAAGCAGGCUUUAGCUUGAAUACAUUAGCAUGGAAUAAUGAAAUAGGACGUUCGAACCUAUUUUGUUGGUUUCUAGGAUCAACGUAAUGAUUAAUAGGGAUAGUUGGGGGCAUUAGUAUUCAAUUGUCAGAGGUGAAAUUCUUGGAUUUAUUGAAGACUAACUACUGCGAAAGCAUUUGCCAAGGAUGUUUUCAUUAAUCAAGACGAAAGUUGGGAAUCGAAGACGAUCAGAUACCGUCGUAGUCUUAACCAUAAACUAUAGCCGACUAGGGAUCGGAUGAUGUUUAAUUUUUAU
rnacentral:rRNA from 1 species